rnacentral:rRNA from 1 species
GUGAGGAAUAUUGGACAAUGGGCGCAAGCCUGAUCCAGCCAUGCCGCGUGCAGGAAGACGCAUCUAUGGUGUGUAAACUGCUUUUGUACGGGAAGAAACACUCCCUCGUGAGGGAGCUUGACGGUACCGUAAGAAUAAGGAUCGGCUAACUCCGUGCCAGCAGCCGCGGUAAUACGGAGGAUCCAAGCGUUAUCCGGAAUCAUUGGGUUUAAAGGGUCCGUAGGCGGUUUAAUAAGUCAGUGGUGAAAGCCCAUCGCUCAACGAUGGAACGGCCAUUGAUACUGUUAGACUUAAAUUACAAGGAAGUAACUAGAAUAUGUAGUGUAGCGGUGAAAUGCUUAGAUAUUACAUGGAAUACCAAUUGCGAAGGCAGGUUACUACUUGUGGAUUGACGCUGAUGGACGAAAGCGUGGGGAGCGAACAGGAUUAGAAACCCGAGUAGUCC